rnacentral:rRNA from 1 species
UGAGGAAUAUUGCGCAAUGGGCGAAAGCCUGACGCAGCCACGCCGCGUGGAGGAUGACACCCCUAUGGGGCGUAAACUCCUUUUAUGUGAGAAGAAGGUCCAAGUCGCUUGGAAUUGACGGUAUCACAUGAAUAAGCACCGGCUAACUCCGUGCCAGCAGCCGCGGUAAUACGGAGGGUGCAAGCGUUGUCCGGAAUCACUGGGUGUAAAGGGUGUGUAGGCGGGACUAUAAGUCAGGGGUGAAAUCCCACAGCUUAACUGUGGAACUGCCCUUGAUACUGUAGUUCUUGAGUCUCGGAGAGGUUGCUGGAAUUCGUGGUGUAGCGGUGAAAUGCGUAGAUAUCACGAGGAACACCAGAGGUGUAGACGGGCAACUGGACGAGUACUGACGCUGAGGCACGAAAGCGCGGGGAGCAAACAGG